GAGGUUAUGGCUCAGUGGUAGAGCGCUUGCCUCCCACAUGCAAGGCCCUGGGUUCAAUCCUCAGUACCACA
rnacentral:tRNA from 1 species